rnacentral:rRNA from 1 species
AAUAGAUACCCUGGUAGUCCACGCCGUAAACGAUGAGUGCUAAGUGUUGGAGGGUUUCCGCCUUUCAGUGCUGCAGCUAACGCAUUAAGCACUCCGCCUGGGGAGUACGGUCGCAAGACUGAAACUCAAAGGAAUUGACGGGGGCCCGCACAAGCGGUGGAGCAUGUGGUUUAAUUCGAAGCAACGCGAAGAACCUUACCAGGUCUUGACAUCUCCUGACCGCCCUGGAGACAGGGUCUUCCCUUCGGGGACAGGAUGACAGGUGGUGCAUGGUUGUCGUCAGCUCGUGUCGUGAGAUGUUGGAUUAAGUCCCGCAACGAGCGCAACCCUUGGUUCUAGUUGCCAGCAUUCAGUUGGGCACUCUAGAGCGACUGCCGGCGACAAGUCGGAGGAAGGUGGGGAUGACGUCAAAUCAUCAUGCCCCUUAUGACCUGGGCUACACACGUGCUACAAUGGAUGGUACAAAGGGCAGCGAAGCGGCGACGCAUAAGCGAAUCCCAGAAAACCAUUCUCAGUUCGG